rnacentral:lncRNA from 1 species
CCUAGAUUUCCUGCAGCCGUCUCCAUGCUCAGGUGGCUCUGUGUCCUAGCUCACCUUGGGAUUGUGCUUGAGUGGAGAAAGAUUGGAAUCCCUGACCACAUUAAAAUACUUCAUCAUGGAAAACCUAAGACACAGAGCCGAGGAGUGAAGAGGAGUGUGAGCACUGGUGAGUCUGUCAACCGACUCCACAGCGACUAUGCUCUGCUGCUUUGCCCACGCUCUCCUUUUAUACAGGUGGAGGUUGGCUCUGGAGGGCGAGUUGCCUUCAGGCUCACCGUGUGCGGCAGGAAUGCAUCCCAGGUGCUCUGCUCGCCUGUGCCCGGGGCCCCGACACCUGCUCAUCCAGCUCACUGCUGCUGAGGGUCACGGUGGGCUCCGAGUCAUCUUUCAGAUAUGCCGUCAAAGUUAUGGUUCUUCUUAUUCAGAAUUGAGACAAUUAAAAGGUUUACAAUAUACACAUAAGCAAAAGAAAUAAAAGCAUCUUAACAUCCUAGCCCUUGAUAGCU